rnacentral:rRNA from 1 species
AGGACUAACGCUGGCGGCGUGCCUAACACAUGCAAGUCGAGCGGACACCACUUUGUAGCAAUACAGAUGAAGUGUUAGCGGCGAACGGGUGAGUAACACGUGAGUAAUCUGCCCCUAGCUCUGGGAUAGCUCCGGGAAACCGGGAUUAAUACCAGAUACGACCACUUUAGACAUCUCUUGUGGUGGAAAGAAUUUCGGCUGGGGAUGAACUCGCGGCCUAUCAGCUUGUUGGUGAGGUAACGGCUCACCAAGGCGACGACGGGUA